rnacentral:rRNA from 1 species
UACGUAGGGAGCGAGCGUUGUCCGGAUUUACUGGGUGUAAAGGGUGCGUAGGCGGCUCUGCAAGUCAGAAGUGAAAUCUAUGGGCUUAACCCAUAAACUGCUUUUGAAACUGUGGAGCUUGAGUGAAGUAGAGGUAGGCGGAAUUCCAGGUGUAGCGGUGAAAUGCGUAGAGAUCGGGAGGAACACCAGUGGCGAAGGCGGCCUACUGGGCUUUAACUGACGCUGAGGCACGAAAGCGUGGGUAGCAAACAGG